GAUGAACGCUAGCUACAGGCUUAACACAUGCAAGUCGAGGGGAAACGACAUCGAAAGCUUGCUUUUGAUGGGCGUCGACCGGCGCACGGGUGAGUAACGCGUAUCCAACCUGCCCAUCACUUGGGAAUAACCUUGCGAAAGCAAGACUAAUACCCAAUGACAUCCCACGAAGACAUCUGAAUGGGAUUAAAGAUUUAUCGGUGAUGGAUGGGGAUGCGUCUGAUUAGCUUGUUGGCGGGGUAACGGCCCACCAAGGCAACGAUCAGUAGGGGUUCUGAGAGGAAGGUCCCCCACAUUGGAGCUGAGACACGGUCCAAACUCCUACGGGAGGCAGCAGUGAGGAAUAUUGGUCAAUGGGCGAGAGCCUGAACCAGCCAAGUAGCGUGCAGGAUGACGGCCCUAUGGGUUGUAAACUGCUUUUAUAAGGGAAUAAAGUGGGUCUCGUGAGACUUUUUGCAUGUACCUUAUGAAUAAGGACCGGCUAAUUCCGUG
rnacentral:rRNA from 1 species